UUUAACCACACAAAGACAACACAUCACUACAGACAAGAAGGACAAACACAAGAGGGAUCUGUGCACCAUAAAAGACCAUUUCCACAGUCAAUGAGACCGAGAUGCCACUAACUGGUUGUUUGUCUUCGGUUUUAAAGAAAAUAUACGCAUUUCUGAAACGACAUUCUUUUUUAAUCAUUUUUCUAUUGAGUCUUUUGUUAAUCGGAUUUGAGGAGUUCAUGGAAGCAAAAGUUUUCUCAUGCCCGUGCAGACAUGAUCUGAAUGUACAACUAACAGUGUGCAUCUUCAUCGGACCUGCUCUCUUUAUUUUCGAAUUACUCUUUCUCUUUUUAAGGCCUUUUAGAGAGAAAUGCAGUCGUUUUUCUGCAGGAGCAGAUGAUGAUACUCAGCUGAACUGUCCUAAAGCUUUCACAUCAUGUCUGAUUCCACUCGUAAUGUGGGUCAUCAUCUUGUUACUCGAUGGAGAUUACUUCGCUUGUGCCAUGACAUAUUGGAAGGGAAUUUUCGCGUUUGAUAAUCAGCUCAACAGGUCAUGGUGUAAACCUACCGAAAAGUUCAGAAAUGUGACAGCGCUACAAAAUUUGACUCAAACACAUAUCCAUCAAUCUCAGAUAUAUGGUUAUGGUGUGAGCACUGUCUUCAUCGUCUUUCCAAUUAUCUAUGUGGGAAUUUGUGACUGCUGUGGAAAAUCUGCCUGUUGAUCCAAAGCUGGACAUGAUUGAACACAAAUGGAUACAAACUUGAACAACACACUUUCCACACUCCUGAAAACAGAUACACAGACUUAUCAGUAUUAUUGGUACUAUGAAAAAAAACCUUUUAAAAUAUGGAUUAAUGUUUAUCUGUUUUAUGUACUAGUCCAGUGUCUACAUACUUUGAUUAUUACUAAUAUAAAUCUGUCUGUUGUUCUCCAGCAUCACACAGACCAAUAAUAGCCAAGUUGUGUACCUUAUAUCUUGUCUCAUAUACUUGUUUCAUAAUACUUUAUAUGCAUUCAAAAAGUACAAAAAAAAAAGUUUAGCUUAAAAAUUAUAUUGUGUAUAAAUGUGAACUUUAAGUUUAA